rnacentral:rRNA from 1 species
AACAGGAUUAGAUACCCUGGUAGUCCACGCCCUAAACUAUGUCAACUGGUUGUCGGGGAAGCAAUUCCUUGGUAACGAAGCUAACGCGUGAAGUUGACCGCCUGGGGAGUACGGCCGCAAGGUUAAAACUCAAAGGAAUUGACGGGGACCCGCACAAGCGGUGGAUUAUGUGGAUUAAUUCGAUGCAACGCGAAAAACCUUACCUACCCUUGACAUGUACGGAAUCUCGCAGAGAUGUGAGAGUGCUCGAAAGAGAACCGUAACACAGGUGCUGCAUGGCUGUCGUCAGCUCGUGUCGUGAGAUGUUGGGUUAAGUCCCGCAACGAGCGCAACCCUUGCCAUUAGUUGCUACAUUCAGUUGGGCACUCUAAUGGAACUGCCGGUGACAAACCGGAGGAAGGUGGGGAUGACGUCAAGUCCUCAUGGCCCUUAUGGGUAGGGCUUCACACGUAAUACAAUGGUAGGUACAGAGGGCAGCCAACCCGCGAGGGGGAGCUAAUCCCAGAAAGCCUAUCGUAGUCCGGAUUGUAGUCUGCAACUCGACUACGUGAAGUCGGAAUCGCUAGUAAUCGCGGAUCAGCAUGUCGCGGUGAAUACGUUCCCGGGUCUUGUACACACCGCCCGUCACACCAUGGGAGUGGGUUCCACCAGAAGUAGUUAGCCUAACCGCAAGGAGGGCGACUACCACGGUGAGAUUCAUGACUGGGGUGAAGUCGUAACAAGGUAACC